rnacentral:rRNA from 1 species
GACGGAGGAUGCAAGUGUUAUCCGGAAUCACUGGGCGUAAAGCGUCUGUAGGUGGUUUAAUAAGUCAACUGUUAAAUCUUGAGGCUCAACUUCAAAAUCGCAGUCGAAACUAUUAGACUAGAGUAUAGUAGGGGUAAAGGGAAUUUCCAGUUGGAGCGGUGAAAUGACGUAGAGAUUGGAAAGAACACCAAUGGCGAAAGCACUUUACUGGGCUAUCACUGACACUGAGAGACGAAAGCUAGGGUAGCAAAUGGG